rnacentral:rRNA from 1 species
UACGGAGGGUGCAAGCGUUGCUCGGAAUUAUUGGGCGUAAAGGGUAGGUAGGUGGUCUUAUUUGUCUGGGGUGGAAGCCUUGAGCUUAACUCAAGAAGUGCCUCAGAAACGGUAAGACUAGAGUCCUGGAGAGGGUCGUGGAAUUCCCGGUGUAGCGGUGAAAUGCGUAGAGAUCGGGAGGAACACCUGCGGCGAAGGCGGGUUGCUGGGCUGACACUGACGCUGAUGCGCGAAAGCCAGGGGAGCAAACGGG